CCAGACGCCCACCUGCCGCUCUUCUGUCUUAGACUUCCAGCCUCAGAACUUGUUGAAGAGGCAGCUGUGGCUAAUUAACAUCAGGCCAUGAAAACCUAUUUGUAGCAAAUCCAAGCGGAAGCCAAUAAAACAGGUUGCCAGGCCAACGGCGGGGCUGAGAGCAAGAUGGAACGUAAUGGAACUGCCCCGGAACUGAAGGGAGUGAUGCUCACAGUGUCGCUUACGGAGGGUGUCCAAGCAGAAGCCGACUUGGUGACCAAAAUUCCUGGGAACAGAAGAUCAUGACCAGUGGACAUUGUCUCAAAGGGAGAGAAAGCCAUGGUAAUUUUAGACUUAGGAGGGCAGUGAGAAGGAGUUGGUUGUGACUCUGGCGGGCAGGACGAGGCUCCCUGAGACACCCACACCCGAAUCUCAGGAGUCCCUGCUCUGUGAUCUCACAUGGCAAGGGGGCUUUGUAGGGGUAAUUAUGACCAUGACCUUGAGGUGGAGCGAUGUCUGGGUCACCAACACACAAUUCCUUAGGCUCAGAGUACCUUUCCCACCUGCACCGGAGUGUGGCCAUGGGAGAGGCUGUGCGACUCUGAAGAUGGAGGAGGGAGUGAGGCACCAGGAAGACUGCAGCCUGCAGAACCCGAGAAGGCUUCUGGAAGGAGCCAGCCCUGCGGACACCUGGGCUGUAACCAGUGAGACCCACGCAGAGCUUCCAUCCCCCGGUGCAGUUAUGCCACACAUCUGCGUUAACAACCGGCCUGUGUCAUUUGUUCCAAUAGCGCUGAAAGCCUAGUGAGUGAAGCUCUCUGUUGAAGGAUGGACACAGCUCUGAGACCAGCAGAUGAUGCAUUGGUUAUGCCACUGAACUCUCAUGUA